GUUAUUUCAUUUUUCAGUAGGAAGUGGCGCCAUACUAUACUACCAUCUCGAUGUGUUGUUUCUUGUUUUUUCCGAUUGCUUGCUGCGCUGAAAUCAUUCUUCUAAAACUUAAAGAAAAUUUUCCGAGUCUUUUUAUUAAGAAGUUGAUGGAAAAUGGGGACUUGGUUUUAAAGAAUGAACCAAAUUUUUUAGGACACGGAUCCUAAAAGUCUACCACCGCCCGUUUUUAAAUCAACCGUAUUCGACUAAUUGUCAAAUACUUUACUCGAGUUGAGGCAGUUUGCACCGACCAACGUGGCCAGCAUCAUUUACUCGUGGAGCGCUCACUAAACAUUUCAAAAGCCUUACCCGACUCUGGGUAUGGAAUUAGCUUUGUACGAAUGAGUUGCAAAUGAUCGCGGCUCACCUCAAGCAAUUGCCACCCCCCCUCCCCCCAAACAAUUCGGAUGAUGAUAAGAAAAACAAACAAUUCCUUAUGGAGCUCUUGUUGAGUGAAAAAUAGUUUGAAAAUACGAGCAUAUCCCGUCAUGAAAGGCACGCUUCCAAACUUAUAGGCACUGGCUGAAAAUGCCGUUGUACCAUAGUGAGGACAUCCACUGGAAUGAAAACAUCGUGCUGGCAAUACUUUUCCGUUGAGGGCUGUCUCGACUUACUCAAACUCAACUUUUGCCUGCAACGUAACUUCCACCAGUUUCGACUGGAGACCGAGGAUUCCGUUUUCCGCUUGAAGCCGUGGAAGGGCUAAGACGGAAAGGUGUUGUCGCCAUGUCGGAUGGGCCCAGGAAGUCUCAGACCAUUAAUUCCUUCUGCGUGUACGAAGUAGGAAAACUGAAUAUAAGAGGAAAACGUCCUCGACGUCCGUAACGAUGUCAAGUCUGAAUGGGAGAACGUGUGCGUUGCAUGCUUUCUUCUCACGUUCCAGCCACCUGUCCCACCCGGAACACACUUUAACUUCAGUGAUCCAUUGGUUUCUCAUUUUUAUCUACAUCCAAGGCUGUGAGAUCACCUUUGAAGAUUAUUAAACAAGGACCAGAUCUCAGACCUAAAAAUUCUAGGAGGACAGAACCUUCCGUGUUUGGUUGUACUGCAAUCAAUACAAGAUGGAUAUAGAUCGUGUCUCGCAUAAUAGAGAAGGAGUAAACGAUUCAUUCAACAUUAUGAUUCGACGUAAAUUAAAGGAGAACAACUUCAAAGCAGUGCUGAAAACAUCCUAGACUUAAACACGGAUUCUUGACUACGAUGACACAGGAGCGGCCCACUACUCCAAAAUGACCAAUCAAAUUCCAGUAUUGGAUUUCAACGACACAUUCUUACUUUACUUAGUUUUCAGAACCCGCAUAACGGAGAAAUUAAUUUAAAUAUUCCACGGACAUAAAAUUGUCCAAUACAAUUUUCCGGUAAAAAACUUCCCCUACAAAUCCUAAGAAUUUGCAACUAUGUUGGGAUGGAUUGGUGCAAAUAUGCAAACAUUCGUACAAUUAUUUUGUCUUAAUUUCAUAUCUUCUCCUAUCUAGCUCAUUCCAUAUUGGCUAUAACAUUUUUCUAUCUUGAAUAUUAGCUACAACUGUGAUGUUUCAAGGUAAACGUACUCUGCCUAUCUUGCCUUCUGAAAACUACCUACUUAAAUAAGAAUACAACUGUUGGAAAAUUUAAAA